GCCUUCGUGGUGUAGUGGUCAGCACGCUGGGCGCGUAUUCCAGAGGUCCGUGGUUCAAGUCCCGGAGAAGGCG
rnacentral:tRNA from 1 species